AAUUGGAGAGUUUGAUCCUGGCUCAGAUUGAACGCUGGCGGCAUGCCUAACACAUGCAAGUCGCACGCGAAAGAGGGGCAACCCUUGAGUAGAGUGGCGGACGGGUGAGUAACGCGUAGGAAUCUACCUGGUAGUGGGGGACAACCCGGUGAAAACCGGGCUAAUACCGCAUACGAUCCACGGAUGAAAGCAGGGGACCGCAAGGCCUUGCGCUAUCAGAUUAGCCUGCGUCGGAUUAGCUAGUUGGUGAGGUAAUGGCUCACCAAGGCAACGAUCCGUAACUGGUUUGAGAGAACGACCAGUCACACUGGGACUGAGACACGGCCCAGACUCCUACGGGAGGCAGCAGUGGGGAAUAUUGGACAAUGGGGGCAACCCUGAUCCAGCAAUGCCG
rnacentral:rRNA from 1 species